CCUAAUCACAUCUUAGCAGGAGUGAUUUCUUUGUGCUGAUCUCUUCCCCUCCUCCCUCCCCGGUUUGGUUUUACUUAACAGAUUCUUUAUAUCCCAUACGUUAGCAGAUAUGAUUGCACAGCUGCCGGUCUCCGACUGCUGGAGACAGAGGCUUUGAGACACCCGGGCUAGAGAGAAUAACAGCUAAUCUGAACAGCUGUGUGAUGGGGACAAGCGCAAAUGAGUAUAAGCCCAGGUGUGGGAGAAUAAUUCUCCUGCACAAAGAAGGAAGCUUCAUCCCACAGGUGUGUUACUCUCCACUGUUACAUCUGAAAAACUUAGUUUGAAGGAUUUCUCAUGUUUAAUUGCUUGGCUGCACUCUGGGCCUUGACUUGGAUGUGGAUCCUGCACACAAAGUGGAAGAACAGCUGUACAAGAGAUGGUGUGUCUGACUCAGAGCGCUGUCUCUGACCAUGGCCAACUGCAGAUGUCUAGGAAAGAGCAUGAGAACAAGUUGCAGUUUCGUGGGAAUAGCCCUGGCCAUGAGAUGGUGCACUGGAAUAUUCAUGGCAGAAAAGCACCUAAGGAGACCCAGCAUGGAAGUGUGGAUGUAUGUACCUGUGCUGUAUCUAAGCUUUUCAGGAUUUUCCAUGGCUUCCAGCUCCUGCAGAUCUACAAAUGCCUCCCUCACUCAGCUUGAUGGAUUUCCUGAAGAAGUAGGUGAAGGAGAAGACUGUCUUGUACUAUCAAAUGACACCUCAAACAAACGCUGAAUUACAUCAUGCUUUUACACUCAUCUUUUAGAGACAGCUCAGAUUUGAAUACAACUCUUGCAGCCUUUGAUUCUGGGGAAUUUAACACAUCUUAAUUCCUACGUGUAAGGUCCCCUUUUCACUCUGUGGCAACACUGGGCUGAGGCUGAGCCUGAAGGGCUGUUUGGUUUUCACACUCAUUCAGACCAAAGCUUAGAAGCUUCUUGACAAACUCCGCAGGGUCAGUGGUGUCAAGGCUGGUAUGUCAGGAAAAUAAGUUUCAGUUCCUAAACUCAUCCCACUGGUGACCUGUCGGGGCUUUGAAACCUUUUCCAGAAGCCCAGAAGGCCGCAACAUUAAUCCAUGAUAGCACUCAAGCCUAGAGCAGCGAGGGUUGUUGGAACAGCAAAGACAUGGGAGAAAGGGGGGUGGGAAGGACAUAUUUUCUCUUGCAGGAGCUGUGACGACAUUUCAGAUCAAAUUAAACUUCAGUUUUUAAAGACUUCA